CGGCAACAGCUCAAAUUUGAAAUCUGACCUUCGGGUCCGAGUUGUAAUUUGUAGAGGAUGUUUCGGGUAAGAUCUAGGCCGAAGUUCCUUGGAACAGGACGUCAUGGAGGGUGAGAAUCCCGUACGUGGCCGGUGGUCGCACCCAUGUGAAACUCCUUCGAC
rnacentral:rRNA from 1 species